AUACUAAACCGUAACAAACGUUAAAUGAUAAUAGACUUGUUUUAAAUGAAGUAAAGGCUAAAUCGAAAGCCUACCACAAUGGCGCGACAUUGCCUGUGUUGUACAAUGAAAGCAAUUCUUAUUGGACUAGCUGUCGUAUGUGCAGCACCGCAACAAGAUACUUUGCAAGUGAAUGAUAUUGCGCGAAUGCCAAGCGUUUACCAACCACAACAACCCUAUGUGGACCCGUAUAUGCAACCAGUUUAUGUUCAGCCGCAACCCCCGCCAUCUCUCGCGCCUGCGCCUAUCGCAGGACCAUUAACAUUGCUUAGCCGGUUUUUUGGUGUAAGACGGAGAAGAUGAAUUCGGCAUUUUGAAAUAAAUAACCACUCAAGUCAUUCUUCCGUU